rnacentral:misc_RNA from 1 species
AAUAAUAAAAUCCAAGAUGGCGCAGGGUACAGGCAAUGGUUUUGGCCAAUAUCAUUGUAACUAUUGUCAAGCUGACUGUACGACUCUGCGGGUGAAAUGCGCUGAAUGUCAAGAUUUCGACCUUUGUGUUCAGUGUUUCGCAUCGGGAGCAGAAAUGGGCGAACAUAAAAGGGACCAUAAUUAUCAGUUAAUCGACAAUGGUACCUUCCCUCUGUUCUCGGAAGAUUGGUGUGCGGAGGAAGAAAUGCUUCUCCUAGAUGCAGUAGAACAACAUGGUCUUGGAAAUUGGGUGGACAUUGCUGACCAUAUAGGAACAAAGCCAUUUUCAGAAACCGAAGAUCAUUACAGUGGAUGUUAUAUUGAAGGCCAUGUGGGGAAAGCCACAAUACCAGAGUUUGUAUGUAAAAUCACUGAUCACACAGCAACAUCCACAGGUGAACUCUCACCAACCCUCACUCAUCCUCCAGAAGUCUUAGAGAUGACAUUAACAGAGCAACAGGAUCUUGGUUACCUGCCAUUUCGAGAUGAUUUUGAUAAGGAACAUGACAAUGAUGCAGAAACGUUAAUUAGUAACAUUCAACAUUCUCAUGAAGAUGAUGAGUUGGACUUGGCUUUGAAACAUGCGUUGUGUGACAUAUACAUUGAACGGCUCAAGGAAAGACAACAUCGAAAAACGAUCGCCAGGGACCAUGGGCUGAUUACAAGCAAGCACAAACUCACAGCUUCAAGAAGGAAACUUUCUAAGGAAGACAGAGAUUUUCGUGAUGCUGCCAGAGUAUUCGGGCGUCUUCAGCCAGCCGAAGACUGGGAACGAUUCUUAAAUGACCACACUAGACAAAGAGAACUUCAAUUUCGUAUUAAAGAACUGAUACGAUACAGGAAAAAUGGCAUUACGAAAUUAUCAGGUUGUCGCGAGUAUGAUGAACUAAAAUUGAGACGAGAAAAACUUAAAGAAAAUCGCAAAAAACUGGAUGCUUGUUCCCCCAGGAGAAUGAACGUGGCGACAAAAAAAGACCUCAAAGUUGAUAAGAAAAAAAUGGAAAAGAAAGAGUCCUAUACCACCGCAUCGUUUUCGGAACUGAUCAAUGGUUAUGUGGGCUUCGAAUUAUUGUCUAUUCGUGAGAAACAGCUUUGCAAUACUUUACAAAUAAAACCAGCGUUCUACCUGACGAUAAAAGGCAUUGCUUUGAAGAACCAUUCAUUGCGAAGACGGGGCAGUUCUGUUAAGACUCGUUAUCCUCCGUGCGUUGGAAAAUCGCAAAGAAAACGUCUUCUGUUGUUCUUCAAAGAAUGUGGAUGGCUUCAGAACAGCUGAGACUAAAUCUUAUUCACACACUUGAACAAUAAUACGGCAAGCGUAGGUUCUAUAAGCGCUUUAUACGGAAUCUCACAGACUGUGUAUCGUCGACUAGCUUACCUUGUUGUAAACGGAAAUAUAUACACUGAAAUCCAUUGAAUGACAAAGAGAAACGAGGAAUAUUAACCUGGCGCCAUGAUCUUCUUUUGUUCUCUAUAAACAU